rnacentral:rRNA from 1 species
CAGCCGCGGUAAUUCCAGCUCCAAUAGCGUAUAUUAAAGUUGUUGCAGUUAAAAAAGCUCGUAGUUGAAUUUCGGGAUCAAUAUUUCGGUCAUGCCGUUGGUAUGCACUGUUAUCAUUGAUUUCUCACCUUCUAAAGAACCGUAAUGCCAUUAAUUUGGUGUCACGGGGAAUUAGGACUGUUACCUUGAAAAAAUUAGAGUGUUUAAAGCAGGCUCACGCUUGAAUACAUUAGCAUGGAAUAAUGAAAUAGGACAUCCGAUUCUAUUUUGUUGGUUUCUAGGAUCGAUGUAAUGAUUAAUAGGGAUAGUUGGGGGCAUUAGUAUUCAAUUGUCAGAGGUGAAAUUCUUGGAUUUAUUGAAGACUAACUACUGCGAAAGCACUUUGCCAAGGAUGUUUUCAUUAAUCAAGAACGAAGUUAGGGAUCGAAGACGAUCAGAUACCGUCGUAGUCUUAACCAUAAACUAUGCCGACUAGGGAUCGGAUGAUGUUAAUUUAUAAUGACUCAUUCGGCGCCUUACGGGAAAC